GCCCAGUUAGUUCAGUUGGUCAGAACGCCACACCUUUUAUACCGUGGAAACGCGGGUUCGAUUCCUGCAUUGGGC
rnacentral:tRNA from 1 species